UACGGAGGGGGCUAGCGUUGUUCGGAAUUACUGGGCGUAAAGCGCACGUAGGCGGCUUUGUAAGUUAGAGGUGAAAGCCCGGGGCUCAACUCCGGAAUUGCCUUUAAGACUGCAUCGCUAGAAUUGUGGAGAGGUAAGUGGAAUUCCGAGUGUAGAGGUGAAAUUCGUAGAUAUUGGGAAGAACACCAGUGGCGAAGGCGGCUCACUGGACCGUAACUGACGCUCAUGCACGACAGCGUGGGGAUCAAACAGG
rnacentral:rRNA from 1 species